UAUUUUGGAAGAGAUGCAUUUAUUAGAUAAAAAACCAAUGCAUACUUUUUCAAGUAUGAAAUUUGGUGAUUUACAAUAACUUAGCAAAUCGCAUAGUGAAAACAGGCGAUAAAUCAUUCAAGUUUCUGACCUAUCAGCUUUCGACGGUAUGGUAUUGGCUUACCGUGGCAGUGACGGUUAACGGGGGAUUAGGGUUCGAUUCCGGAGAGGGAGCCUGAGAAACGGCUACCACAUCUAAGGAAGGCAGCAGGCGCGCAAAUUACCCAAUUCUAACAGCAUAAGAGAGGUAGUGACAAGAAAUAACAAUACAAGGCAGUUAAAAUGCUUUGUAAUUGGAAUGAUAGAAAUUUAAACACUUUUUAAAGUAUCAAUUGGAGGGCAAGUCUGGUGCCAGCAGCCGCGGUAAUUCCAGCUCCAAUAGCGUAUAUUAAAAUUGUUGCAGUUAAAAAGCUCGUAGUUGAAUUUCUGUUAAAAAUAACCGGUCUGCUUUUAAUAAAAGUGGUAUGUUGCUGUGUUUUUAGCAAUAAUGUCCUUUGAAAUGUUUUUUACUUUAUUGUAAUAAAUAAUAUUCAGGAUUUUUACUUUGAGAAAAUUAGAGUGUUUCUAGCAGGCUAACGCUUUGAAUACUGCAGCAUGGAAUAAUAAAAUAGGAUUUUAGUUCUACAUUAUUGGUUUUAAGAACUAAAUUAAUGAUUGAUAGGGACAGUUGGGGGCAUUUGUAUUUAACUGUCAGAGGUGAGAUUCUUAGAUUUGUUAAAGACAAACUACUGCGAAAGCAUUUGCCAAAGAUGUUUUCAUUAAUCAAGAAC
rnacentral:rRNA from 1 species